AAAUUAUUUAGGAACCAGGUGUAAGCCUAAUUCCCUUUCAAGUGUGCAUAUCAGACUGAAGCUUUUUUAGGAUGUCUGAGACAAUCGCAGUUUAGUAUGCAGUGAAUCCUGGACUAUAUAUGUGAAAUGAUGAAAAAAUGUUGAUUAUCAUUGGAAUCUAUUUUCUAAAACGAAGCAACUGGAUACUUGAAAGUUUAUCGUUUUCAUCUGCUAGUUUGUAUAUAUCUACAUGUUUCUGCAUGUUGAAUGACAUAUAUCUGUUAGACUGGAUAUAUGGAUGUGCAUAUCAGAUUGAAGUUUUUUUCUUCUUCUAGGAUAUAUAACUACAUUAUGUGUAGCGUUGCUUUGCUCCCUGCUAUGAAGCUAUGAAUGUGUGCGAGCUUACAUAUAUCAUCUUCCCCUUUGUUUUCUUUUAUUUCCUCGGAAGCUAAAAAUUUAUUUCCUCGAAAGCUAUGGAUGUGUGCGAGCUGCCAAUCUCUGAGUUUCGGACUGGUGUUGAGAAGGAUGGCAUACCUGAGUGCUCCGUUGAGCGCAGGGGGAGGGGGUAGGCGUUGCCGUGGGAGCGCGUCCGACACAGGACACCGCGCGCUGCGGCGGCGGGCGCGGGAGUCAGAGCGACGGAAACAGCAGUGGGGUUCAAGGAGGGGUUGUGCGCGGAUGGGAUAGCGGAAGGAGGAAGAGAUAGUCCAUCGGAAGAUCGGGUGAGAUAGCGGAAGAAGGAGGAAGAGACAUUCCAAUGGAAGAUGAAAACCCUA
rnacentral:lncRNA from 1 species